rnacentral:rRNA from 1 species
GACGAACGCUGUCGGCGUGCUUAACACAUGCAAGUCGAACGGAAAGGCCCUGCUUUUGUGGGGUGCUCGAGUGGCGAACGGGUGAGUAACACGUGAGUAACCUGCCCUUGACUUUGGGAUAACUUCAGGAAACUGGGGCUAAUACCGGAUAGGAGCUCCUGCUGCAUGGUGGGGGUUGGAAAGUUUCGGCGGUUGGGGAUGGACUCGCGGCUUAUCAGCUUGUUGGUGGGGUAGUGGCUUACCAAGGCUUUGACGGGUAGCCGGCCUGAGAGGGUGACCGGCCACAUUGGGACUGAGAUACGGCCCAGACUCCUACGGGAGGCAGCAGUGGGGAAUAUUGCACAAUGGGCGGAAGCCUGAUGCAGCAACGCCGCGUGCGGGAUGACGGCCUUCGGGUUGUAAACCGCUUUCGCCUGUGACGAAGCGUGAGUGACGGUAAUGGGUAAAGAAGCACCGGCUAACUACGUGCCAGCAGCCGCGGUGAUACGUAGGGUGCGAGCGUUGUCCGGAUUUAUUGGGCGUAAAGGGCUCGUAGGUGGUUGAUCGCGUCGGAAGUGUAAUCUUGGGGCUUAACCCUGAGCGUGCUUUCGAUACGGGUUGACUUGAGGAAGGUAGGGGAGAAUGGAAUUCCUGGUGGAGCGGUGGAAUGCGCAGAUAUCAGGAGGAACACCAGUGGCGAAGGCGGUUCUCUGGGCCUUUCCUGACGCUGAGGAGCGAAAGCGUGGGGAGCGAACAGGCUUAGAUACCCUGGUAGUCCACGCUGUAAACGGUGGGUACUAGGUGUGGGGUCCAUUCCACGGGUUCCGUGCCGUAGCUAACGCUUUAAGUACCCCGCCUGGGGAGUACGGCCGCAAGGCUAAAACUCAAAGGAAUUGACGGGGCCUCGCACAAGCGGCGGAGCAUGCGGAUUAAUUCGAUGCAACGCGUAGAACCUUACCUGGGUUUGACAUGGAUCGGGAGUGCUCAGAGAUGGGUGUGCCUCUUUUGGGGUCGGUUCACAGGUGGUGCAUGCCUGUCGUCAGCUCGUGUCGUGAGAUGUUGGGUUAAGUCCCGCAACGAGCGCAACCCUUGUUCACUGUUGCCAGCACGUUAUGGUGGGGACUCAGUGGAGACCGCCGGGGUCAACUCGGAGGAAGGUGGGGAUGACGUCAAGUCCUCAUGCCCCUUAUGUCCAGGGCUUCACGCAUGCUACAAUGGCUGGUACAGAGAGUGGCGAGCCUGUGAGGGUGAGCGAAUCUCGGAAAGCCGGUCUCAGUUCGGAUUGGGGUCUGCAACUCGACCUCAUGAAGUCGGAGUCGCUAGUAAUCGCAGAUCAGCAACGCUGCGGUGAAUACGUUCCCGGG